rnacentral:rRNA from 1 species
GAUGAACGCUGGCGGCGUGCCUAAUACAUGCAAGUCGAGCGAACAGACGAGGAGCUUGCUCCUCUGCCGUUAGCGGCGGACGGGUGAGUAACACGUGGAUAACCUACCUAUAAGACUGGGAUAACUUCGGGAAACCGGAGCUAAUACCGGAUAAUAUAUUGAACCGCAUGGUUCAAUAGUGAAAGACGGCUUUGCUGUCACUUAUAGAUGGAUCCGCGCCGCAUUAGCUAGUUGGUAAGGUAACGGCUUACCAAGGCGACGAUGCGUAGCCGACCUGAGAGGGUGAUCGGCCACACUGGAACUGAGACACGGUCCAGACUCCUACGGGAGGCAGCAGUAGGGAAUCUUCCGCAAUGGGCGAAAGCCUGACGGAGCAACGCCGCGUGAGUGAUGAAGGUCUUCGGAUCGUAAAACUCUGUUAUUAGGGAAGAACAAAUGUGUAAUUAACUAUGCACGUCUUGACGGUACCUAAUCAGAAAGCCACGGCUAACUACGUG